UAAGCCCAUUCUUUAUGGAUGAUGGAUCAUCAAAUGGGUUUGUGGAUGGCACAAUUAAAGUGUUAGAAUGAGGCAUUAUAAUGCAUAUAUGAAAACGGGACAAAAAAAAGACGAUCAACAAGGAGGAAAUCAAUGGAUAAAUUAAUGCAAGGAAAAAAGUAAAAUAAAGAAUGAAAUGCGGAUACUGAAGGAAACCUGUUUUUUUUCUAGAGAAACAACAACAAUGGGCCGCAAGUUCGAACAGAACGGGCCAAAAAAUUCAAAAGAUAGGAAAGAAAAUAUGAGUUUCAGAAAUAAAUAGAAUUUGCUCCCACAAAAAUUAGCAAAAAGGCUAUUUUUAUUUAGCGGAUUUGCAAUUGUCGCCUUUAACAAUCAAAAUACAAUCAACAAUUAUAAGCGUUGCUUCCGGUAAAGGAAUGUUUCACUAACAAUAUUCUUACAAAUGUAAAAACAUUUGAAGAUGUUUUGAAGACUUUGUCCGACGAUAGUUAAGAUUAUCCUGAACCUUUAAUCAGACUUCAAUGGACAAGUCUAUUAAGAACUGAUUUCUUUUAACAAGUGUUUACACGCACAAUUGAAUCAGUGUACUAUUUAUGCUUAUGGAAAUCUUGGAAUUACAAUAGAGGUUGGGUAUAAGUUUAUCUGCUACAAGCUCGAAAGCGAUCUUGAAAAUAAAGAUCGAUAUAAGCCUCUUAAAGAGCCUCUCGUUACCUUGCCCAAU